rnacentral:tRNA from 3 species
UCCCCCGUGGUGUAAUCGGCAACACACAUUACUUUGGAUAAUGUAUUUCAGGUUCGAGUCCUGGCGGGGGAGCCA